GAUGAAGAACGUAGCGAAAUGCGAUAAGUAAUGUGAAUUGCAGAAUUCAGUGAAUCAUCGAAUCUUUGAACGCACCUUGCGCCCUUUGGCCAUUCCGAAGGGCAUGCCUGUUUGAGUAUCAUGAACACCUCAACUCUUUAUGGUUUUCCAUGAUGAGCUUGGACUCUGGGGGUUUUGCUGGCUCACAGUCGGCUCCUCUAAAAUGAAUCAGCUUACCAGUGUUUGGUGGGUAUCAUGGGUGUGAUAACUAUCUACGCUUGUGGUUUUUCCACCAAGUAACCUUCAGCAGUGGAGGUUCGCUGGAGCUCAUAGAUGUCUCUCCUCAGUGAGGACAGCCCUUUGAAUGUUUGAUCUCAAAUCAGGUAGGACUACCCGCUGAACUUAAGCAUAUCAAUAAGCGGAGGA
rnacentral:misc_RNA from 1 species